rnacentral:tRNA from 1 species
GUCAAGUUAGUUUAAUUAAAACAUCAGCCUGUGGAUUUGAAAAUGAAAACUUAUUUCACUUGACC